CAUGACCUUUCGUUCCGCCUGCAGCAGGUCUGGGCUCAGUAAGUGGCGAGAGGGCUAAGAGAGGUUUAAAGGCAGCACUUUGGGCAGCCCCGGUCCUCGAAAACAGGAAAGACUCAAGGUCACACGGAUAAAUUGCGAACCGAUUACAGAAGCCUUGCGUCAGUUGCGUGAGAGGAGGAGCCUGCUGCGCCUGCGCAGCUAGCAUCCUGCCGCACGUCUAAGGCGCAUGUGCGCAGGGCGUGGUGGAAACCGAGGUACUACAGCACUCAUUGGAUGCUUCAGCGCACAUAACUCAAACUACUGGCAGCUCCAUAAAAUGCUAGGAGGCAAAGAUACCACCCCCGGCCCAUCAACACACACCCCUUCAAUGAAGCACUUGAAACAGGAGGAUGCUAGGCAUUAGCUGGACAUCAGCCUGCUCACAGAAGCUCAGGCUCCUGAGAUGGAAAUGAAGGAGUGCAGAAGUCAAAGUCAUUCCUGGUCCAGAAGCAAGUUGAGCAUUCACUGGCAUGGCCACUGGGAAGGACCAAUCCAACCCUUGUGAUUCCAGAAGCCUCAUUUUCAAGGCCCCUACUGUUUAAGGAACUAGGAGUUUGGGCCAUCUCAGUAAUGGCUCCUUGAUAUAUAAUCUGAGGCUUUAGGGGAAGAGGGAUACAGGAAUCAAAAAUAACAACUCCUGUUCAUUGAGCACUUUCUAUAGGUAAAGUGUUGGUCUAAGCAUUUCACAUGCUUUGCCUUGUGUAAUCUUCAAACGACUCACUGAAUUGUGAUCCCUCUUUUAUAGAUGAGUAAACUAGGCACCCACUUAAUGAUAAUAAAAAUUAAAAUAGUAAUAUUAAUGAGAAAAAUUUAACAGCUUUAAUGUUUUUUACACUGAUCCAGUGCCAGGCCCUGUGCAAGCAUAUUAUAUAUGUAUGAUAUCAAGUCCUGACAGUUCAUCAUAUUAUCCCCGUUUUCAGCUAAGGAAACAGACUGAGGGAAGUGACUUGCCUGAGGUCACUGGAUUUCAGAAAGUGACCGAGCCAAGAGCCAAACUCGCUUCUGUGUGAUUCCAAAGCAGCCUGAAGCCACGAUUCCUUAGCAACCUCCCAAGGGGGCCAUCAUGGCGAGGACAGGAGGUUAUGGAAGAGAAUCCCAUUGGCCUUUAAAAGCAGAGGUACCCUGGCUUAUGAGCUGGGCCAUGAGCUACAAAAUCUGCCAUUAUGGGAAGCUGUGGGAGAGACACCGCCCCUUCCCACUGGGCAGUGAGGGAAGCUUUAAUGCCGUCUUCUCACCCACCUGGUAAUGGGCCGUGUAAACUCACAAACUGCAGGAAAACAGUUCCUUGAACAGGGAUGCAGAGGAUGUUUGCUCUGGUCCAAAGCCUCUGCCUCCCUGCUCACCCUGAGAUGUGGGGCUGUUGUCAGUCUCUGCUUUCUCUCCGUUGUCACUGUGAAUCCUGCUGGGCUAUCGUUGCCUUGGUAACUUGCUGGGAAGCUCUUGAGGCUUUCUAAAACCAGAGAGGGCUGUGGAGGGAGGAACGAGCUCUGCUGGGCUGCCGAUCACAGAAGGGAAGAAACUAUCCCCGCGUUUGCUGCCCUUACCAGCCACACAGACAGUCCUUCCUUGGGUUUUACCUCAGCCUCUUCUGUUGCCUCCACAGGAGCUUCGUAGCUUUUGAGGCCGGGCCUGAGUGGGGGGCGGGGCGGAGGGGAGCAUUCACUGGCAUGGCCCUGUGCUGCUCUGCCCUUGGAGUUGGUUCCCACUGUUGUCAGACAGAGCUGCUUGGACUUCCGGUUGCACCCAUUCCCUGGCCCUGAAAUGUUAAUUGGUUUAUGAAGCUCACUGCCUAUUUUUUAUGAGACAGAUAAUUAUGGUAAGGGGAGGUCAGGCCCUACUCUGCUGGACUUUGUGGGGCCUCCAGUACUCCUGACUCCCCAGUCAGAACCCAGGCAGACUGAUGGGAUCUGGGUGGGCAGGAGCAGGCCUAGGCGUUGGGGAGGGGCCUGGAUAUACUCACCAUGGGACAAGGGGCCAAGCCUUCAGGCUUGUAGUCCCUGUGAUGGGAUCAAGGAGGCGAAUGCACACCUGCCACAUAGUUGAGGUGGGUACCUGCAGAUGCUGUCCUUGGGUGAGAGAGACAGAGGUGUGGCAGCUCUUAGGCUUCCUAAGGGAUUCCUACAUGGGGCUGCCCCUGGCUGUGCCAAGAAAUCCUUAAUCUUGACACCAUUGUCACCUGUGGAACUGUUUCUCCCCCCACCCCCCUCUCUGUUUUGGGCCUCUUCCUUUCUUUUCUCCUAUAGUCUGAGUCUGAAAUAUGGCCUCUUUCUUUGGCCAGUCUCUAUAACUGAUCUCUCUUUCUCUCUUGGUCUUUCUCCCUCUGUCCUAGUCCAGGAUCAAUAUCUCUAUCUCUAUCUCUGUGUGUCUCUUUAUCUCUCUCUCUCUCUCUGUCUCUCCCCUUCUCUCCUUCCCAGGUGGGAAUAGACUUGCUGUCCACUGGAAGGCAGCUCCCUCAUGGGUUUUACUUCUGGCACAGGUAGGGUCUGCGAUGGGGAGUAGACAGUGCAAGAAAUUCCACUGAAACUGGGAUGGCUCCCCUCCAACCCUCAGGGAAAGCAAGAGCAGGGAAUGAGGGGGCAGAGGUUUAUGGGCUUCUCUCCAGGGUACGAUCUGAUGUACAGUUUUGUGACUCCCAGGUCGUCUGAGUGGCCUGUCCUGUCCCUAGACCAGGCCGAACAUCUGUGUGCCCUGCAUCACAUCCCUUAGCCCUCUGGGAAGGAUCUCUGACAAUCUACUCUGGCUCUAAGUAUUGUCUGUCUGUCCUCAUGCCCUCCUCCAAAGGGGGAGAGGGUGGCUGACCCAUGCAUGGCAGAUGUAUAACAACACUUUCAGACCCAGCCGGUUGCUGGAUCUGCUUGGCAGUGGGACACGAUGACCUCAGGAAGACACCAACCUACUCGAUAUAUUGCCAAACUCCCUCCUCCCUUGCUUUCUUCCUCAGUGGCCAGCUCCCCAGAAGUUGCUUCCCCUUUAAACUAAGUCCAACCUUGAAGGGAAAGAAGGAGGGAGGAAUGAGACUGGAGCUGCUCAGGUCAGGAGGGCCUAGAGUCCCAACUACAGAGGCCAGGCCCUCCUCCUUCUGCUCCUCCUCCAUUUAAUUAGCUAAUGUCUGUAAAGGGCUGGGCGGCAGAAAAGCCCCAUACAAAUGUUGAGCACAAUUUCAUUUCCAAGACUCGCCAAGAAUGUAUUUGCAGACUUGAGCGAGAGGUCACUGGGCCUGCCUGGGACACAGGGAGGACUCCCUGCAGGGGAGGACAGAGGUCCUGGGAGGCCAGAGCAGGGGAAUGAGAGGCCACGAUGGAGGCCAGGGUCCCAGACUCCUUGGUCUUCCAGCUGAGCAUCUUGGCACCAAACCUGCUUUCCACUGGCCUCCACCCUUCCUGACUCCCAGGGUCCUAGAGGUCCAGCCUUCUCUGUAGGGACCAGCCUCAGAGACUUGCUAUCUGGAAAUUAUGUGGCUAUUCACAACAGCUAAUAUUUAUUGAACACUUACUAUGUGUCAGGCUGUGCUAAGGGGGCUCUAUCUGUCCAGCUUGGGGAGAAAUGGCUGCUCUUGGUGGCAGUAGAGUGUAGGAUAGGAACUUUCCAGUGAAGCGGCCCCCUUUGCUCCACUUGAAACAUUUAGAAGGGGGGUGUCACUUUUCUGACCAAUGAGAAGAGAUUCUGCUUUGUAAUCCAGGUCCCUCCAGUGUCGAUACUCUGCAAGUUUCUGAACUCUCCUUUCCUUUCCCCAGUGACAACUCACCUGGUCCUAAAUCCAUUAUUAAAGAUCCUUGGGGCCAAUUAGCCUUGACAGGUUCCAUGUCCAAAGGGACAGCUUUCCAGUUUUUGGUGCUCCAAGGCCUGCUUAUGUGAACCUGUCCAUCUCAGAAUUCUGUGCAUCUGAUACUGAGGAGUGGCCACAUUCCUCCAUUUCUGGGUAGGACUUGGCUUUGCUUGGGGGUCAGAGAGGCUGAGCCUGGGAAAAUGGAAUGGCCAGCCUCCUCUUUCACAGUUCCAUUGCCAAGGUGAGUGCUUUGGGAAGGUGAGAGAGCGAGAGCGAGAGCGAGAGCGAGAGAGAGAGAGAGAUAUUGAGCUUGAGCGCAAAGCAGAGAAUGGAAGAAAGCAGGGUUCAGGAAGAGACAUGCAGGCCAGACUGGGAAUAUUGGUGUUUCUAUCAUGUCCUGGGCCUCCUUUGUCUCCAGCCCCUCAUUCUCUAAAAUCUGAACAGAGCUGGAGUGGGCUUUCUGAGAGACAAGAUCCUUGAGCCCCCAAACCUGGCCAACCUCUUCUGUUUCCCUAGUUGUUCUUCUCUGGCUUCCCUCCAGAGCCCAGGGGCCUCCAUGUGUCAUCAGUUCAUUAUCAUUCAGGUAAAAGUCAUUAGUCCUUGAAAAAGUAUGACUCCCCAGCUGAGGCCAGCCCCCCAUCUCCACCUGAGGAGAGGAGUACAAAUGUUUGGAGACCUCCUUCGGAACUGUAGGGAGAGAUAUACACAGUUGCACAGACACAAGACACACUGAUGCUUAUUCCCAAGGGUGUGUGCACACACCCUUUUAUGUCCUUUUAUGUACCCCCUUUACUCACAGGCACAUUUUAUGUGCUCAGGGGUAGUUACACCAGAGAGCCCACAGAGCUGUAGCUGCUCUCUUGCUUACCAUCCCUGAGAUUCACUCCUCAUCUUGCAGCAUCCAGCAGCCUCAGCCUCCUGCAUACCCAGAAGCCAGGCUUCCCAGACCGGUGGGGGAGGGGAACGGAAUGUAGAAGCUGAGGUUAGAGAUCUGCAAGUUCCAUUAGCCACAAGAAGCAUGUCUGGAAUCUAAAAGCACAGGGACAAGGGCGCUGCGGAGCAAUUCCUGACAGCGUGUUCACAUUUCCCACCCCCUCCCCUGCUAGGAAGCUCCUCUCGGUCAAUAAAGCCAUUUAGGGAUUAGAGCAGCUCCCUCAAUAAAAGCUGCUUAUUCAAAAGGUGCUUUCAGUUAAUUUGCAUUUACUUUAUGGAUAUUAUAAUGCGUGGAAGAGCUGCCUCCUCAGACUCCCUUCGCUGUCCCCAUUUUGAGUCCCAAGCCACAUACUCUCUCUUCAUUCCAUGCCCCUCUCCCCUGCCCCAACCAGUAGGCACUGUUGGGGCUGAGCCAUGCUUCCAAGCAACCCAGGGACCCUGAUGAAGAGUGGGAGGUGGUGAACGCUGGCCACUGACCCAUGGUUCCUGGAGGGGCAGCCCCAGGGACAGCUAGAAGGGGCCAAGCCGAAAGAGUUUUCCCAAAAGAGAGGAAAGACCCAGGCCCUGGGGGAACUGUCCUAGUUCCUGAACUCCUGGGGAAAAACUGAUCUGACUGCUGUUUGUAAGUGGAGACACCAUGGGGCUAAGCAGAAUCAGCUUUAACUCCUAACACUUCCUCUGGCAGCACCUCCCGUACAUUCAGUUUAUUCAGAGAAUAUUUAAUUAAUGCCUAUUAGGUACCAGGCUUUAUGCUAAGCACCUGGAAUAAAGUGGUGAAUAUGACAGUAUGGCCCCUGCCCUCCAGAAAUUCUGGUCUAGUGGGGAAAACCCAUGAAAAAUGAGCCAGUGAAUAUACAAUUUCAAAUUAUAUAAAAUAUAAUCGGUACUAUAAAGUGAACAAACGGUGCUGAUAGGAAGAGGGACCUACUUAAGAUGGGUGGUGGGAAGGGUGGUGACAAGAAACAGAGCUGGAAGAAUAGGAGCCAUGGGAGAAGCAUUUCAGAUUGUAGGAACUGCCAUCGCAAAGGCCCUGUGGCAGGAGUGUUGGUGAAACAGAAUGCAGUGAGGGGAGGAGUGGUAUCCAGUGAGGGUACUAUGGUUUAAGAUGGGCAAGGUCAAGUCUCGUGAGCCAUGGUAAGGAAUUGGGUAUUAUCCUAAGGGUGGGGCCACCUGAGUGGCUCAGUCAAUUAAGUGGCCGACUCUUGAUCUCGGCUCAGGUCAUGACCUCAUGGUUCGUGAGCACAGAGCCUGCUUGGAAUUCUGUCUCUCCAUGCCUCUGCCCCUUCUCAGCUUGUACUUUGUCUCUCUCUCUCUCUCAAAAUAAAUAACUAAACUUAAAAGAAAAACAAAAAAGCUAUAUCCUAAGGGUGGAGGGAAGCUGACAAAGAAGUUUAAUCAGGGACAAAAGGCAUGAUUUGACGUCCAUUCAUCAGGAAUGUGUGUUAGAAGGGUAGUAGUGGAUGCAGAUCAAUGAGGAAGCUAUUGCCAUCAUCCUAGCAAAGAGGAGCAGGAAGGGGGAAGGGACACA